rnacentral:rRNA from 1 species
CCUACGGUGUGCUGCAGUGGGGAAUAUUGGACAAUGGGCGAAAGCCUGAUCCAGCCAUGCCGCGUGUGUGAAGAAGGCCUUCGGGUUGUAAAGCACUUUCAGUGGGGAAGAAAGCCUUGGGGCUAAUACCCUCGAGGAAGGACAUCACCCACAGAAGAAGCACCGGCUAACUCCGUGCCAGCAGCCGCGGUAAUACGGAGGGUGCGAGCGUUAAUCGGAAUUACUGGGCGUAAAGCGCGCGUAGGCGGUCUGAUAAGCCGGUUGUGAAAGCCCCGGGCUCAACCUGGGAACGGCAUCCGGAACUGUCAGGCUAGAGUGCAGGCGAGGAAGGUAGAAUUCCCGGUGUAGCGGUGAAAUGCGUAGAGAUCGGGAGGAAUACCAGUGGCGAAGGCGGCCUUCUGGACUGACACUGACGCUGAGGUGCGAAAGCGUGGGUAGCAAACAGGAUUAGAUACCCUGGUAGUC